rnacentral:rRNA from 1 species
CAGCACCUCAAGUGGUCAGGAUGAUUAUUGGGCCUAAAGCAUCCGUAGCCGGCGCUGUAAGUUUUCGGUUAAAUCCAUACGCUCAACGUAUGGGCUGCCGGGAAUACUGCAAAGCUAGGGAGUGGGAGAGGUAGACGGUACUCGGUAGGAAGGGGUAAAAUCCUUUGAUCUAUUGAUGACCACCUGUGGCGAAGGCGGUCUACCAGAACACGUCCGACGGUGAGGGAUGAAAGCUGGGGGAGCAAACCGGAUUAGAGACCCGUGUAGUCC